rnacentral:tRNA from 1 species
AGAGGGGUAGUUUAUAAAUAAAAUUUGGGCUUUGGGAGUCUAAGAAGCCGCUUAUAGUGGUCCUUUCUA